UGGCACUUUUAUGCACGCCACAGUUAGCAUUAGCAUAUAAAGGCUGCAUUAGGCUUUGGCAAAUGACAAGAACUUCUAAAAAUAUUUCUUAAGAGGAUUAAAUGACACUUGAAAAUUUGGACCUCCUGACGGUGUGUGUGA